UAAAAACCAACGCCAAUAACUAUACAAUCAGACUUAUUUACAAAAAAUAUCUUAAGUAUAAAAUAGAGAUUCAAUACUCUUUUGACAUUAUCAACACUAGUGGCGUGUGAGUAGACUAGACUGGAUACAUGUGCACUAUGAUUAUUGAUUUUGGAUGGAGGACAUAAUUAUGUGGUCCCUGUUACCUAGCCAAAAAGAUCAUUAGCUUCAAGGAGAUGAGUCAUUUGCUGGUACCACGUAUGAUAAUUGACUGAUGCUAAAAAAAAAUGGAUAGAUUGAAAGUGAUAGUGAGUGCCCAUGAGAAAAAAAAAAGAGAAAAAAAAUUGAUUUGCUUGUUAAGCUCCUAAUUCUAUGAUACCAUAUUAAAAGAUAAAAUAACAUAUUUAUUCACAUUUAAUUAUGAAAGUAUUAUAUAUAGAGAGAGAAUACAUACUAAUAACAAACUGAAAAUUAUCUACUAAAUGAUUCAUAACUUGUAACUAACUGCUCUAUCAUAUGAAUAGUCUAACAUGUUUCGGAUUCUAGCCAAAAAGAACAAAGAAAAAUAUUUCCAACACCAAUGACUUCUCUUUUUUUUUUUUUUUUUAAACUGUCUCCCACGUGAAACAGGGCAUAACAGGGAAUUUCGGGGUCUUCAACAAAAGUCUCUAAACACUACAGUUCGAAUUAAAUUCAAACAUUCAGCUACUUGCCUCGUUACUCUUUGAAGAUUUAGGAGGAAAAAUAUUUAACCACUUUAAUUCUAUAGAGACAUAGAAAGGGUGUGAUAAUUAAUGAGAGAAAGGCCUAUGAUCGUAAAUUGUAAUUGGAUGCUCUAAAAUGUGUAGCUACCUUCAUAUUUAUAAUACUAGGUCAAGUAUAUAUAACUCUAACACUCCCCGUCAAGCUAGAGAAUAACUGUUAAUCAUGCCCAAUUUGUCACAAAUACAAACACUAUGCCCCCGAUUCAAAGUUUUGGUAAACACAUCUGCUAGUUUUUUGUUUAUCUUGACAUAAGAAGUAAAUAUUUGGUUUUGUUUCACCUUCAUGGAUGAAGUGACAAUCUGUCUCAAUGUGUUUCGUUCUUCCAUAAAAAACUAGAUUGAUGUUAUUUUAUGGCAGCUUGAUUGUAGCACCAUAUAUAAUUUCACAGGCAUGUAUUAGAAAAUCCUAUCUCUUUCAAAAUCUGCCCACCCAUAUCAACUAACAAGUUGUUUGAGUUAUAUCCUUGUAUUUUGUCUCUACACUGGAUCUAGCCACCACAUUAUACUUCUUACUUUUCCAAGAGAUCAGAUUACCUAUCCCAGACCAUUCUUCCAUUGUGAUAGGAAGAUCCCCUUCUUCAAGAACAUAACCUCAAUACCCAAUAAAUAAUUCAAAACACCCAAAUCUUUCGUUUGAAGAAAACUCUCCAAGUCGUUAAUGCCUCUGCUAUCACUUUUUUUAAUCACAAUAUCAUCAACAUACACCACAAGUGAAAUGUUGCCAAUGUUAGUUUUUUUUAUAAAAAACUAUAUGAUCACUCUGUCUCUAUUUCAUUCCAAAUGCAAGGACCAUAUCACUAAAUCUCCUAAACCAAGUUCUAGGCAAUUGCUUCUAGCCAUAUAACAACUUCCUUAAGUGGCAAACCCUGCCAAACUCUACCUGAGAAACAAAGUAGGUGGUUGCUCCAUUAUCACCUCCUCUUUUGUAAGUCACUUUGCAAGAAAGAAUUAUUUAAUUACAUCCAAUUAAAACAACGGCCAAUGAUGUAUAGAAGCAAGAGAAAUAAGAAUGAGUAGAGGAAAGCUUUGCAGUAGGCAAAAAAGCAUCAACAUAAUCAAUUUCGUAAGUUUGAUCAUACCCGUUGGCAAUGAGGCAAGCCUUUAAAUGAGUCCUAGACUCAACAAGACUCAUAUUGGUUGUAUAAACCCACUUGUAUUGAAUAGCCCUUCUUCCUUGCAGGGAGAGAAAUAAAAUCCCAAGUUUCCUUAUUCUUUCCUUCUCCAUCGCUUGUCACCAGCAACCAUGACUAAGGAGAUCUGAAAGAGACUUAGGGAUAAAACAAAAUCUAGGCCAACAACAAAGGACUUAGAAGUGGAUGACAAAUGAGCAAAAGGCGUGUAAGGAAAUAUAAUUAUGAGGGUAGCUACACAUUAUUGUAUGUACAUAUGUGAGCAAAAGACUUUUUC
rnacentral:lncRNA from 1 species